rnacentral:rRNA from 1 species
AGAGUAUGAUCCUGGCUCAGGAUGAACGCUGGCGGCGUGCUUAACACAUGCAAGUCGAACGAACCUUCGGGUUAGUGGCGGACGGGUGAGUAACGCGUGAGAAUCUGCCCUCAGGAGGGGGAUAACGGUUGGAAACGACCGCUAAUACCCCAUAUGCCUACUGGUGAAAUGAAUUUCGCCUGAGGAUGAGCUCGCGUCUGGCUAGCUAGUUGGUGAGGUAAUGGCUCACCAAGGCUUCGAUCAGUAGCUGGUCUGAGAGGAUGAUCAGCCACACUGGGACUGAGACACGGCCCAGACUCCUACGGGAGGCAGCAGUGGGGAAUUUUCCGCAAUGGGCGAAAGCCUGACGGAGCAACGCCGCGUGAGGGACGAAGGCCUCUGGGCUGUAAACCUCUUUUCUCAAGGAAGAAGAUAUGACGGUACUUGAGGAAUAAGCCACGGCUAAUUCCGUGCCAGCAGCCGCGGUAAUACGGGAGUGGCAAGCGUUAUCCGGAAUUAUUGGGCGUAAAGCGUCCGCAGGCGGCUUUUCAAGUCUGCUGUUAAAGCGUGGAGCUUAACUCCAUCAUGGCAGUGGAAACUGAAAGGCUUGAGUAUGGUAGG